rnacentral:rRNA from 1 species
AACGAACGCUGGCGGCAUGCCUAACACAUGCAAGUCGAACGAACCUUUCGGGGUUAGUGGCGGACGGGUGAGUAACACGUGGGAACGUGCCUUUAGGUUCGGAAUAACUCACGGAAACGUGUGCUAAUACCGAAUGUGGCCUUCGGGGGAAAGAUUUAUCGCCUUUAGAUGGGCCCGCGUCUGAUUAGCUAGUUGGUUGAGGUAAUGGCUCACCAAGGCGACGAUCAGUAGCUGGUCUGAGAGGAUGAUCAGCCACAUUGGGACUGAGACACGGCCCAAACUCCUACGGGAGGCAGCAGUGGGGAAUCUUGCGCAAUGGGCGAAAGCCUGACGCAGCCAUGCCGCGUGAAUGAUGAAGGUCUUAGGAUUGUAAAAUUCUUUCACCGGGGACGAUAAUGACGGUACCGGGAGAAUAAGCCCCGGCUAACUUCGUG